GCCGGCCCGAGCAGCGGAGGGGUUAAGCGGGGAGAGGGGCGUGCGCCCUCGGCCCCCCCACCCUCCUGGGAGCUGCUCCAGCCCGAGCAGGCUCUGCCCCGGGGUCAAGUCCUAGGACAUCUCUCCCUCCCCUCCUGGCAAGGCAGGAGCUCAGGCUGCGAAGGGAAGCAGCAGAUGAGCGCAGGGCAGAGGUUUGCCCCUCGUCCUGGACACAGAUGUCUGGAGGCUGGGGGAAGAGAGAGAGCUCCCAGUUUUCCAGGUUGCAAAAAGAGGUGAUGAGGGGAGGCUGUGUGUGAAAAGAAGGGAAGAACAAGUGACGGCUGCAGGACCGGCCGAUAAACCACAACGCAAACGCCGAAACACAGCCAAGGAAUUAAGGGAUAAUUCGUACAGAAAUUGUUAGCUGUGUGCUUCUUGGAAAUGUGUCUGAAGAAUCAGAACAAAGCGUGGAAGGCCAGAGUCCUUGAAGGAGCUCCAAAUGAUAAAGUCUGCCAUUCAUUUUAAACACUGCGUGCAUUGUGGAAACACAGGUCAAUUUGAAGGCAUUUGUCAGAUUUCCAGUUCCCUCUGCUCCUUUGCAAUGGAAAUUUGCAAUCAAAUCCCUGGGCUGGAGUUAGGAUGUCUGCCUUGAUCAGUUUGUACGACUCCAUGCCCAAAGCGUUGGCCAGGCCGUAACUCAAGUGGAUGUGUUUGCCAUGGAAAUAAACACUUGGAAUACAUCUAUAUGUUUCUUGGCUUUUUGAGAGAAAUGAAGAAAAAAGUCUUGGCAUUUAAUUAGGAGUCACUAACCUGAUAAAUAUUGAACAUCAUUUCUUUGUGAGCGGCUCCAUGUGCUCAGAGUACUCUAUGGAUGUAUUCUACAAUUGCACUUAUUUAAUGCCUGUAUCACCUCGUGCCUAUUGUAUUUAUGUUGUCAUCAAUGUCAGAUUUUAAUUAAACAAUUAAAUCACUGUCACAGUAA